AUUCCAGCUCCAGUAGCGUAUAUUAAAGUUGUUGCAGUUAAAAAGCUCGUAGUUGGAUUUCUGGCUUGAGACGCCUGAGCCGCCAGGGUUACCUGUGUGAGUCUCGGUGUGUCUCUGCCAUCCUUCUGGAUAGCGUGUCUACCUUUUAUUAGGCCGGGCUCGUGCUCCAGAUCUUUUACUUUGAAAAAAUUAGAGUGUUUAAAGCAAGCUUGCGCUAUGAAUACAUUAGCAUGGAAUAAUAACUUAGGACUUUGGUUCUAUUUUGUUGGUUUCUAGGACUGAAGUAAUGAUUGAUAGGGAUAGUUGGGGGUGCUAGUAUUCAGCGGCCAGAGGUGAAAUUCUUGGAUUCGCUGAAGACUAACUUAUGCGAAAGCAUUCACCAAGGAUGUCUUCAUUG
rnacentral:rRNA from 1 species